GGGAAGGUGGCUCAGUAGUAGAGUGCUUGCCUUGCAUGCAUGAGGCCCUGAGUUUGAUUCCUCAGCACCCCA
rnacentral:tRNA from 1 species